rnacentral:rRNA from 2 species
CCGGCGAUGUCCGAAUGGGGAAACCCAGUGCAAUUCGUUGCACUAUCGUUAACUGAAUACAUAGGUUAACGAGGCGAACCGGGGGAACUGAAACAUCUAAGUACCCCGAGGAAAAGAAAUCAACCGAGAUUCCCCCAGUAGCGGCGAGCGAACGGGGAGCAGCCCAGAGUCUGAAUCAGCUUGUGUGUUAGUGGAACGGUCUGGAAAGUCCGACGGUACAGGGUGAUAGUCCCGUACACCAAAAUGCACAGGUUGUGAACUCGAAGAGUAGGGCGGGACACGUGGUAUCCUGUCUGAAUAUGGGGGGACCAUCCUCCAAGGCUAAAUACUCCUGACUGACCGAUAGUGAACCAGUACCGUGAGGGAAAGGCGAAAAGAACCCCGGCGAGGGGAGUGAAAAAGAACCUGAAACCGUGUACGUACAAGCAGUGGGAGCACCUUCGGGUGUGACUGCGUACCUUUUGUAUAAUGGGUCAGCGACUUAUAUUCUGUAGCAAGGUUAACCGUAUAGGGGAGCCGCAGGGAAACCGAGUCUUAACUGGGCGUUAAGUUGCAGGGUAUAGACCCGAAACCCGGUGAUCUAGCCAUGGGCAGGUUGAAGGUUGGGUAACACUAACUGGAGGACCGAACCGACUAAUGUUGAAAAAUUAGCGGAUGACUUGUGGCUGGGGGUGAAAGGCCAAUCAAACCGGGAGAUAGCUGGUUCUCCCCGAAAGCUAUUUAGGUAGCGCCUCGUGAACUCAUCUUCGGGGGUAGAGCACUGUUUCGGCUAGGGGGUCAUCCCGACUUACCAACCCGAUGCAAACUACGAAUACCGAAGAAUGUUAUCACGGGAGACACACGGCGGGUGCUAACGUCCGUCGUGAAGAGGGAAACAACCCAGACCGCCAGCUAAGGUCCCAAAGUCAUGGUUAAGUGGGAAACGAUGUGGGAAGGCACAGACAGCCAGGAUGUUGGCUUAGAAGCAGCCAUCAUUUAAAGAAAGCGUAAUAGCUCACUGGUCGAGUCGGCCUGCGCGGAAGAUGUAACGGGGCUAAACCAUGCACCGAAGCUGCGGCAGCGACACUAUGUGUUGUUGGGUAGGGGAGCGUUCUGUAAGCCUGCGAAGGUGUGCUGUGAGGCAUGCUGGAGGUAUCAGAAGUGCGAAUGCUGACAUAAGUAACGAUAAAGCGGGUGAAAAGCCCGCUCGCCGGAAGACCAAGGGUUCCUGUCCAACGUUAAUCGGGGCAGGGUGAGUCGACCCCUAAGGCGAGGCCGAAAGGCGUAGUCGAUGGGAAACAGGUUAAUAUUCCUGUACUUGGUGUUACUGCGAAGGGGGGACGGAGAAGGCUAUGUUAGCCGGGCGACGGUUGUCCCGGUUUAAGCAUGUAGGCUGGUUAUCCAGGCAAAUCCGGAUAAUCAAGGCUGAGGUGUGAUGACGAGGCACUACGGUGCUGAAGUAACAAAUGCCCUGCUUCCAGGAAAAGCCUCUAAGCAUCAGGUAACAUCAAAUCGUACCCCAAACCGACACAGGUGGUCAGGUAGAGAAUACCAAGGCGCUUGAGAGAACUCGGGUGAAGGAACUAGGCAAAAUGGUGCCGUAACUUCGGGAGAAGGCACGCUGGUGUGUAGGUGAAGUCCCUGCGGAUGGAGCUGAGACCAGUCGAAGAUACCAGCUGGCUGCAACUGUUUAUUAAAAACACAGCACUGUGCAAACACGAAAGUGGACGUAUACGGUGUGACGCCUGCCCGGUGCCGGAAGGUUAAUUGAUGGGGUUAUCCGUAAGGAGAAGCUCUUGAUCGAAGCCCCGGUAAACGGCGGCCGUAACUAUAACGGUCCUAAGGUAGCGAAAUUCCUUGUCGGGUAAGUUCCGACCUGCACGAAUGGCGUAAUGAUGGCCAGGCUGUCUCCACCCGAGACUCAGUGAAAUUGAACUCGCUGUGAAGAUGCAGUGUACCCGCGGCAAGACGGAAAGACCCCGUGAACCUUUACUAUAGCUUGACACUGAACAUUGAGCCUUGAUGUGUAGGAUAGGUGGGAGGCUUUGAAGCGUGGACGCCAGUCUGCGUGGAGCCAACCUUGAAAUACCACCCUUUAAUGUUUGAUGUUCUAACGUUGGCCCCUGACCGGGGUUGCGGACAGUGUCUGGUGGGUAGUUUGACUGGGGCGGUCUCCUCCCAAAGCGUAACGGAGGAGCACGAAGGUUAGCUAAUCCUGGUCGGACAUCAGGAGGUUAGUGCAAUGGCAUAAGCUAGCUUGACUGCGAGCGUGACGGCGCGAGCAGGUGCGAAAGCAGGUCAUAGUGAUCCGGUGGUUCUGAAUGGAAGGGCCAUCGCUCAACGGAUAAAAGGUACUCCGGGGAUAACAGGCUGAUACCGCCCAAGAGUUCAUAUCGACGGCGGUGUUUGGCACCUCGAUGUCGGCUCAUCACAUCCUGGGGCUGAAGUAGGUCCCAAGGGUAUGGCUGUUCGCCAUUUAAAGUGGUACGCGAGCUGGGUUUAGAACGUCGUGAGACAGUUCGGUCCCUAUCUGCCGUGGGCGCUGGAGAAUUGAGGGGGGCUGCUCCUAGUACGAGAGGACCGGAGUGGACGCAUCACUGGUGUUCGGGUUGUCAUGCCAAUGGCACUGCCCGGUAGCUAAAUGCGGAAGAGAUAAGUGCUGAAAGCAUCUAAGCACGAAACUUGCCCCGAGAUGAGUUCUCCCUGAGACU